GGCAGGGCCAAGAGCUGUGGGAAUGGAGCAAGGCCAGUGGCGUGAUUGCUAGUGAAUACCACCUGUGUGCCACACCAGUCUCGUCUUACACUGUCAUCACUCCUCCUUUUAUCCUUCCGUGAAACUUGAUGCCAGUGUUGCCACAUUUGUAUUUGUCUCUUAUCAGAAUAAAGACUUAACGAAAGGGGGACUCUUUUGUAAUAGUUCUACUUAACCAGAUAUCAGAUCAGACUCAUUUGGUUGGGAGGGCCUUAAUUCAACAAUAAAUAGAGCAUCAUUUCUGAGCACAAUAUUAUUCAACUAGACCCUCUUCACAGACUGCUGUCAGAUAACUGCUGAAUUGUGAAGGUCUUCUGUGAUACUGAUACAUUGAUGAAUUCCAGGAUGGCCAUCCAUGUGAUUUUGUUUCUAACACUUUUUACUGGACUGUGUGUCGCUGAUUCCAAAGGGAAUCUUGCUCUUUAUGCCAUCGCUGUGCAGUCCUCCACAGACAACCCACUGGGAGAUGCUCAACAUGCAGUAGAUGGAGACAGAGGCUGCGUCCGAAACCGCCUACUCAAUGAGUAGGUACUUAAUUUCAAUAAGUACUUACUUAACGAGCGCCAAAAGAGUAGGUACUUAACAGCCAAAUCUCGUUGAGUAUGCGAGAUCUGAAAAUAAUCCGCCAUGUUGACGUUAUCAUGUGACCUACGACGUUAUCACAAGUGCAACAACUUAAAAGAUAUGAAUUACAGGUUUAAUUCUUCUAUCUGUUAAUAUCUUGAUAUUGAUAAACUGCUUAUUUUGUGGUCUUGUUGAAGAAACAGCUGCCAGUAAUUUUGUAAUUGUAGUAGGCUACAACUAAUAUAUUUUGGGUUAAUUUAAAGUUCUUAUAUUUUUAUAAUGUGAGUUUAUUUUUUGUUACAAAUACCCAAAUUCGUGUGAAUAUGUUAUUAAUUUCUUUAUUUUAUAUGCAAAAAUGUCCAUCCACAAGCAUAAAUCAAUUUUUUUCCCCUUUUUCUUGUUGAAUUAGCUCUAGUUUCAUCCCUCAGGCUUACAAUAGUAAAUAAAAUAAAUACUUUUAUGCAUUAUGAUGUAUUCAAAAUAUUUAACCUUGUCAUCAUGCUUUAUGUGUGUAUAUAAUUUCAAACGAUGAUGUAUACAAACACAUUUUUAUGUUUUUUUUUUUUUUUUUUUCAUUAUUAUUGUUCAAGAUACAACUGGUAUUUUCCCUGAUCUUGUAUGUUAUUAUAGGUCCUGCAAUAAAAUAAAGAUGAGUGACAGGUGCACUAACACCUCACAGCACCAGUAACUCCACAACCCUAUAGUGCAGUUUUCCUCAGUGUUAGCAAUGUCUGAAGCCAAAGAAGACAUCAGCAGCUGCUCGAAGAUCUCGCCUUUGAAGAAGACUGUUGAUUUUAUACUCAAAAAAUCUGUGCCGAUUCUGCAGCUUUAUUCUGAUGAAGCAGCUGAUGAACACCUUCAUCCAUCAUGUCCCUCACCGCUGCUCUUCUCAAUGGGGACAUCGUUGAUCCAGAGGAUGAGGAAGACCAUGAUGAUGAUCCUCUG